GACGAACGCUGGCGGCGCGCUUAACACAUGCAAGUCGAACGGAAAGGCCUGCUUUCCCUUGUGGAUUGCGGGUACUCGAGUGGCGAACGGGUGAGUAACACGUGAGUGAUCUGCCCCCAACUUGGGUAUAAGCCUGGGAAACUUGGUCUAAUUCCCGAUAGGACUGCAGGGUGGUGCCUGUGGUGGCAAACGAGUUUCUAGUGGUUGGGGAUGAGCUCGCGGCCUAUCAGCUUGUUGGUGGGGUAAUGGCCUACCAAGGCGGCGACGGGUAGCCGGCCUGAGAGGGUGGACGGCCACAUUGGGGCAGAGACACGGCCCAGAACACUACGGGAAGCAGCAGUGGGGAAUAUUGAACAACGAGCGGAAGCCUGAUGCAGCGAAGCAGCGUGAGGGAUGACGGCCUUCGGAUGGUAAACUCCUUGCGACCGCGAGGAAGCAGCAUGGUUGGAAGGGUGGUGACGGUAAUGAUAGAAGAAGCACCGGCUAACUACGUG
rnacentral:rRNA from 1 species